UUAGUCACAGACCGAGUGCCUCGUCAUUCAAUACUAAAUUUCAAUACCUGAGGAGUACAUCUCAUCAGCGUCAGGGAGCCAAUAAGCAUGCAGCAUGCUUCUACCAAGAUUUAAUAACGUUUGUGAUUGGCUGUCUAACGUAACACGUCGUAGAGGAACGCAGGAAAAACUCGACGUUACGCACGGAGACGGGGCACACGUAAUAGCAGUUGAAAAAUAAGUAAAAAGAUUUGUGCCGUAAUGCGUAAUGUUGUAAUUUCUUUUGUAAAAUCUUUUGUUAAAAUGUAUGUUUAUGCAGCAAAAAAAACGCCCGCACACUGUCACAAGAUGGUCUAGUACCGAAACCUUGCCUCCUAUUUAACUCCAUGGGCCUUAUUUUAACGAUCUAAGCGCACGGGGUGAAGCGCCUGGUGAAGGUGCAUUCAGGGCGUGUCCAAAUCCACUUUUGCUAGUUUGACAGCGGAAAAAGGCUCCAGGCGCAUGGUUCAAAGGGGAAACUUAGUCUCUUAAUUAA